GAUGAAGAACGCAGCGAAAUGCGAUACUUGGUGUGAAUUGCAGAAUCCCGUGAACCAUCGAGUCUUUGAACGCAAGUUGCGCCCGAAGCCAUCAGGUUGAGGGCACGUCUGCCUGGGCGUCACAUAUCGUUGCCCAAUGCCUAUUGCAGUGCAAUAGGAAUUUCUAGGGCGAAUGAUGGCUUCCUGUGAGCGUUGUUGCCUCGCGGUUGGUUGAAAAUCGAGUCCUUGGUAGGGUGUGCCAUGGUAGAUGGUGGUCGAGUUAGAACGAUACCGAUCAUGUGCAUGCUCCCCAAAAUAUGGCCUCUAUGACCCACACGCGUCUUUUGACGCUCAUGACGAGACCUCAGGUCAGGCGGGGCUACCCGCUGAAUUUAAGCAUAUCAAUAAGCGGAGGA
rnacentral:misc_RNA from 1 species